rnacentral:rRNA from 1 species
CCUACGGGAGGCUGCAGUGGGGAAUAUUGGGCAAUGGGCGCAAGCCUUACCCAGCAAUACCGCGUGGGUGAAGAAGGUCUUCGGAUUGUAAAGCUCUUUGAUCAGGGACGAACAGAUGACGGUACCUGAAGAACAAGCACCGGCGAACUACGUGGCAGCAGCCGCGGCAAAACGAAGGGGGCGAGGGUUGUCCGGAAUGAAUGGGCGUAAAGGGUGCGUAGGGGGCAUAAUAAGUUAGAAGUGAAAUACCCAGAGCUUAACUCGGGUGCUGCUUCUAAGACUGUUGAGCUUGAGUGCGGGAGAGGUUAAUGGAAUGCCUGGUGUAGCGGUGGAAUGCGUAGAUAUUAGGAAGAACACCAGAGGCGAAGGCGAUUAACUGGACCGUAACUGACGCUGAGGCACGAAAGUGUGGGUAGCAAACAGGAUUAGAUACCCGGGUAGUC